rnacentral:rRNA from 1 species
UACAGAGGGUGCAAACGUUGCUCGGAAUCAUUGGGCGUAAAGCGCACGUAGGCGGCCCAGCAAGUGGGGAGUGAAAGCCCUCGGCUUAACCGAGGAAGUGCUUUCCAAACUACUGGGCUUGAAUACUGGAGAGGGUCGCGGAAUUCCCGGUGUAGAGGUGAAAUUCGUAGAUAUCGGGAGGAACACCAGUGGCGAAGGCGGCGACCUGGACAAUUGCUGACGCUCAGGCACGAAAGCGUGGGGAGCAAAAGGG